CACCUUUCAGAGUGGCACCUGGAGAGUUUCCAGUACUCUACCAGUCUUGGCUACAGAAGGGAGAGUCUAACAGAGGCAUAUCCAUUUCUUUCCUAGCUUGGGCAGUGGCUAGAGAGUGGAAGGCAAUCUGCUACAAGU